GCAUGGGUUUGGAUUUAUGACAGGCUCGUCCCCCUGGGCUUCUCAUUGUACCCCAUGCCAGAGCAAACGGUGUCCUCGAACCAUUGCUUGGCCUCUGUGCCCAUAAGCUGCUGGCACUCAAGAGGGCUACACAGUG
rnacentral:snoRNA from 1 species